rnacentral:rRNA from 1 species
CCUACGGGAGGCAGCAGUGAGGAAUAUUGGUCAAUGGGCGAGAGCCUGAACCAGCCAAGUCGCGUGAGGGAUGACGGUCCUAUGGAUUGUAAACCUCUUUUGUCGGGGAGCAAGAACUCUACGUGUAGAGAAGUGAGAGUACCCGAAGAAAAAGCAUCGGCUAACUCCGUGCCAGCAGCCGCGGUAAUA